rfam:Apaloderma vittatum contig39514, whole genome shotgun sequence.
GGCCGGUUAGCUCAGUCAGUUGAGUGUGGUGCUAAGAAUGCCAAGGUCGAGGGUUCGAUUCCCGUUCGGUCC